rfam:Gibbon ape leukemia virus gag, pol, and env genes, complete cds.
UAGGGGAGUCAGGGUUCGGACCCCCUCCCCGAACCUAGGGUAACACUGACUGUGGAGGGGA